CAGUCGUACGAGCUCUUCGGAGCGAGUGGCGAAAGGGCGAGUAAUGCGAUCGAACGUACCCCGAGGCGGGGGAUAGCCUGUGGAAACGCAGGGUAAUACCCCAUGUCCUCUACGGAGAAAAGGCUUGCCACCUUGGGAGCGGCGAUCGUCCUAUCAGGUUGUUGGUGAGGUAACGGCUCACCAAGCCGAAGACGGGUAGCGGGUGUGAGAGCAUGACCCGCCGCAUCGGAACUGAGACACUGUCCGGACUCCUACGGGAGGCUGCAGUAACGAAUCUUCCGCAAUGGGCGAAAGCCUGACGGAGCAAUGCCGCGUGUGGGAUGAAGCUGUUAUGCAGUGUAAACCACUGUCAGGGUCUAGCAACACUGAGCAGACCCAGAGGAAGGGCCGGCUAAUUCCGUGCCAGCAGCCGCGGUAAUACGGAAGGCCCGAGCGUUAUUCGGAAUCACUGGGCUUAAAGCGUGCGCAGGCGGGGAGGUAGGCAUCUCGUGAAAGCCCACGGCUCAACCGUGGAAUUGCGGGGUGAACCACCUUUCUUGAGGCAAGUAGGGGUCAGUGGAACUAUGGGUGGAGCGGUGAAAUGCGUAGAUAUCCAUGGGAACGCCAAUGGCGAAGGCAACUGACUGGGCUUGUCCUGACGCUCAGGCACGAAAGCGUGGGUAGCGAACGGGAUUAGAUACCCUGGUA
rnacentral:rRNA from 1 species